AGUGAACGCUGGCGGUAGGCCUAACACAUGCAAGUCGAACGGCAGCACAGUAAGAGCUUGCUCUUACGGGUGGCGAGUGGCGGACGGGUGAGGAAUACAUCGGAAUCUACUUUUUCGUGGGGGAUAACGUAGGGAAACUUACGCUAAUACCGCAUACGACCUAAGGGUGAAAGCAGGGGAUCUUCGGACCUUGCGCGAUUGAAUGAGCCGAUGUCGGAUUAGCUAGUUGGCGGGGUAAAGGCCCACCAAGGCGACGAUCCGUAGCUGGUCUGAGAGGAUGAUCAGCCACACUGGAACUGAGACACGGUCCAGACUCCUACGGGAGGCAGCAGUGGGGAAUAUUGGACAAUGGGCGCAAGCCUGAUCCAGCCAUACCGCGUGGGUGAAGAAGGCCUUCGGGUUGUAAAGCCCUUUUGUUGGGAAAGAAAAGCAGCAGGUUAAUACCCCGCUGUUCUGACGGUACCCGAAGAAUAAGCACCGGCUAACUUCGUG
rnacentral:rRNA from 1 species